UUAGAUAGUAUUGUACAUAUACUAUCCGCCCGGGAACUACGAGCACUAGCUUAAAACCCAAAGGACUNGGCGGUGUUUUAGAUCCACCUAGAGGAGCCUGUUCUAGAACCGAUAACCCCCGUUAAACCUCACCUUCUUUUGUUCUUACCGCCUAUAUACCGCCGUCGUCAGCUUACCCUGUAAAGGAUUUACAGUAAGCAAAAUUGGUAUAACCCAAAACGCCAGGUCGAGGUGUAGCAAAUAAGAGGGGAAGAAAUGGGCUACAUUCCCUGCCCCAGGGAAUACGAACAAUGUGAUGAAACCACAUUUGAAGGAGGAUUUAGCAGUAAGCAGGAAAUAGAGCG
rnacentral:rRNA from 1 species